rnacentral:rRNA from 1 species
CCUACGGGCGGCUGCAGUGGGGAAUAUUGGACAAUGGGGGGAACCCUGAUCCAGCCAUGCCGCGUGUGUGAAGAAGGCCCUCGGGUUGUAAAGCACUUUCAGUGAGGAAGAACGCCUGGUGGUUAAUACCCAUCAGGAAAGACAUCACUCACAGAAGAAGCACCGGCUAACUCCGUGCCAGCAGCCGCGGUAAUACGGAGGGUGCGAGCGUUAAUCGGAAUUACUGGGCGUAAAGCGCGCGUAGGUGGCUUGAUAAGCCGGUUGUGAAAGCCCCGGGAUCAACCUGGGAACGGCAUCCGGAACUGUCAAGCUAGAGUGCAGGAGAGGAAGGUAGAAUUCCCGGUGUAGCGGUGAAAUGCGUAGAGAUCGGGAGGAAUACCAGUGGCGAAGGCGGCCUUCUGGACUGACACUGACACUGAGGUGCGAAAGCGUGGGUAGCAAACAGGAUUAGAUACCCCUGUAGUC